ACGAACGCUGGCGGCGUGCCUAACACAUGCAAGUCGAACGCGAAAGGGGGCAACCCCCGGUAGCGUGGCAGACGGGUGAGUAACGCGUGGGCAACCUGCCCGGAGGUGGGGGAUAACCCUUCGAAAGGAGGGCUAAUACCGCAUGACAUCCCGGGGUCCUCGGACCCUGGGCUCAAAGCUGGCCUCUGUUUACAAGCCAGCGCCACCGGAUGGGCCCGCGUCCCAUUAGCUAGUUGGUGAGGUAACGGCCCACCAAGGCUACGAUGGGUAGCCGGCCUGAGAGGGCGAUCGGCCACACUGGAACUGAGACACGGUCCAGACUCCUACGGGAGGCAGCAGUGAGGAAUCUUGCGCAAUGGGCGAAAGCCUGACGCAGCGACGCCGCGUGGAGGAUGAAGGCCUUCGGGUCGUAAACUCCUGUCGAGCGGGACGAAUGCCGGGAGGGUUAACAGCCUUUCCGGUUGACGGUACCGCUGGAGGAAGCCCCGGCUAACUCCGUGCCAGCAGCCGCGGUAAUACGGAGGGGGCCAGCGUUGUUCGGAAUUAUUGGGCGUAAAGGGCGCGUAGGCGGCUGCUCAAGUCGGACGUGAAAUCCCUCGGCUCAACCGGGGAACUGCGUCCGAUACUGUGCGGCUUGAGUCCCGGAGAGGGUAGUGGAAUUCCCAGUGUAGCGGUGAAAUGCGUAGAUACUGGGAGGAACACCGGUGGCGAAGGCGGCUACCUGGACGGGUACUGACGCUGAUGCGCGAAAGCCAGGGGAGCAAACAGGAUUAGAUACCCUGGUAGUCCUGGCUGUAAACGAUGGGCACUUGGUGUUGCGGGUAUCGACCCCUGCAGUGCCGAAGCUAACGCAUUAAGUGCCCCGCCUGGGGAGUACGGUCGCAAGGCUGAAACUCAAAG
rnacentral:rRNA from 1 species